GACAAGCCAUGCGAUCACAGUGAGUGCGAAUAGUUGCACGGUCAUUAUCGCCAGGGCCGUGGACUACUUUUGGACUCUGUGGAUUAUUUUGUAUUGCAACAGCAUUAGUAAUGGCACGUGCAUUGCGCAUGUGUUUGCAAGUGAAUAUUUUUCUGAUUCCACUUGAUUACAGAUUAAACGCCAGAAGCUGGAACGCAAUUUGAGGGAGCUGGUUAGUCAUUCACUUUUAAUAAAGUGAUGUGAUGAAAACAAAUGAGCCCAGGAGCACUUCUGCUCCCAACCCAUCGAGACGUCUGCCCUCAUAACGACCCUGUCAUGAAGUUCCGAUCGACUGAUUCGGCGAGGCAGAAGGCUCAAGGGCGCCAUCUGUUCAGCUGAAGACGCACUGAAAACACUCGUAAUUAACUCGGCACCGAGGCGGUGACCCGACGCACCGCUUCGGCCCCCGUUCGAUGUUACGCAUCUUUGGUGCGCUCACCGUUCCGGCCGUUAUGCUUCGUCAGACGGAUAGUACUUUGACUUUACUCUAGUUUUAUUACACAGAGACUGACUUUUGAUACUUGUAUGGCAUUUGUUACAGCAGGACUGUUACAAUAUGGCUGAUAUCGUUGUCUGUAUAGUUAAUAAAGGUCUUUUUUUUUUUUUUUGGUCAUGGCAUUCCAUCAGCACCUGCACGUUUUAUUUACUUUUAUAUGUAAAUACAUGACUCUCUGUAGAAAGAGGAUUAGCAAGUAGCUUGUUGCAGUCUUUUAGAAGAAAGUAUUUUUUUUUUUUAUGUAUUGUUUUGAUGAAGGCUUCACCGGUUCAUGAUUGCGACACCACCUCUGAAUAUUUUAACUUCCAAUUUGCAUUUAAACGCGGCAUAAUUGAUUACAGCAAAACAACGCGCUCGUGCGAAUGAAUAAAUGCAAACACACGCGGGAGGCCACA